CUGGCAAAGAGUAAUCGUAAGUUUGAUAGGAUAGUCCUCCAUGUCGGCACUAAUGACUCCCGACGUCGUCAGUCGGAAGCAACCAAAGUGAACAUUGAAUCAGUUUGUGCUUAUGCUAAAACAAUGUCGGACUCCGUAAUUUUCUCUGGUCCCUUACCAAAUCUGACCAGUGAUGACAUGUAUAGCCGCAUGUCAUCAUUUAACCGCUGGCUAUCGAGGUGGUGUCCAGAAAACGAGGUGGGCUUCAUUGAUAAUUGGAGAUCCUUCUGGGGAAAACCGAACCUGAUAGGAAGAGAUGGAAUCCAUCCUACUUUGGAGGGAGCAUCUCUACUAUCAGAAAACAUGGCACAUUUAUGACAUCUCAUGAAUGAGACCAUGUUACAGAGGGGGAGUCCUCCACGCCCCUCUGCGCUUGCCUUAGGACAGUUUCCCUCCCAUUGCUAUCAUGAUAGCUGUGUUCAUCGCCAUGACAACUGUUGUGAUGGUGAUGAAUAUUAUUUUAUGGAGACGGUGUCAGUCCCCCGACCCAUAUUUCACAAUGAUUUUAACAUAAAAUCAAAUAAAAGAGCUAUCAAUUAUAAAAAUCUGAAAAAAAUUAAAAUCUCAAAUCUAGAAACACCAAAACAUAAAACCAUUAGAUGUGCUCUAUUAAAUAUUAGAUCACUGAGAUCCAAAUCUCUACUAGUAAAUGACCUUAUCUCAGAAAAUAACUUUGAUUUAUUCUGUUUAACUGAAACAUGGCUGUAUCAAGAUGAAUAUGUUAGUUUAAAUGAAGCCACUCCUCCCAGUCAUUUAAAUACUCAUAUGCCACGAGACAUAGGCCGUGGAGGUGGUGUAGCAGCUAUUUAUCAUUCCUCUCUCCUAAUCUAUCCUAAACCAAAGGCCAAUUACACUUCCUUUGAAAGCCUGGUUCUAAAUUUAUCUCAUAUCGAAUCAAAAACCUGCCAGCCAGUCUUAUUUGCGAUAAUUUACCGUCCUCCAGGCCCUUAUUCUGAAUUUCUAUCAGAAUUCUCUGAGUAUAUAUCAAACUUAGUCCUCAGUUCUGAUAAAAUACUGAUAGUAGGAGAUUUUAAUAUCCAUGUGGACAAAGAUAGUGAUAGCCUGAGCUCAGCCUUUAUGUCCCUAAUAGACUCAGUUGGCUUUUUUCAAACUAUUAAUGAAGCUACUCAUCAUUUAAAUCAUACUCUUGAUCUUGUUCUAACAUAUGGCCUUGAUAUUAAUGAACUAAAAGUCUACCCUGAAAAUCCUCUGCUAUCAGAUCACUUUUUAAUAUCUUUUAACAUUAUCCUAAAGGAUCUCGCACUGUGCAAUAAAAUAGUUACGAGUAGAAAUCUGUCCAAUAGUGCUGUGGCUAAAUUUAAAGAGGCCAUUCCUGCUGCCUUACACUCAGUGCACCAUCCAAUAAAUAACUAUGACAUUAAUUAUAACCCCUCUCAACUGGAUCUGCUUGUCGAUAGCUCUGCUAGUCUACUAAAAUCCACCUUGGACUCAAUUGCCCCAUUGAAGGAAAAAACUAUUAAACGUCAGAGGAAAGCUCCGUGGUUUAGCUCUGAAACUCACACACUCAAACAAACAACCCGUAAAUUAGAGAGAAUGUGGCGCUCCAAUAAAACAGAGGAGUCACGAAUACUCUGGCAAGAAAGCCAUAGUAAAUACAUGACAGCCUUACGACAUAGUCGAUCUACAUACUACUCCUCACUAAUUGAAGAAAAUAAAAAUAAUCCGAGGUACCUUUUCAGCACUGUAGCCAGGCUAACACAAAGUCAGAGCUCUAUUGAGCCCAUGAUUCCUCUAGCCCUCAGCUGUGAGGACUUUAUGACAUUUUUUAACGAUAAAAUUCACAAGAUUAGAGAUAAAAUUAGCCACUCCCUGCCUUCACCUGGGCCUGCUGUACCAUUAAAUGUAAAUAGGCCUAACCUAAACUGUUUCACACAUAUAGGACUUCAGGAACUUAACUCUAUUAUUUCAUCCUCCAAACCAUCGACCUGCCUUUCAGAUCCGAUCCCAACUAAGCUGUUUAAAGAAGUUGUUCCCCUAGUCUGCUCAUCUUUGUUGGAGACAAUAAAUAUAUCCCUAUCAAUAGGCUACGUGCCACAGUCCUUUAAAGUAGCUGUAAUCAAACCCCUUCUCAAAAAACCUACUCUUGAUUCCAGCACUUUAGCAAACUACAGGCCUAUAUCUAAUCUUCCUUUUAUUUCAAAGAUUCUUGAGAAAGUUGUGGCAGCUCAGCUCUGUGAAUUUCUUCAAAACAACAGCC
rnacentral:lncRNA from 1 species